UACGUAGGGUGCAAGCGUUAAUCGGAAUUACUGGGCGUAAAGCGUGCGUAGGCGGUGAUGUAAGACAGGUGUGAAAUCCCCGGGCUUAACCUGGGAACUGCAUUUGUGACUGCAUCGCUGGAGUGCGGCAGAGGGGGAUGGAAUUCCGCGUGUAGCAGUGAAAUGCGUAGAUAUGCGGAGGAACACCGAUGGCGAAGGCAAUCCCCUGGGCCUGCACUGACGCUCAUGCACGAAAGCGUGGGGAGCAAACAGG
rnacentral:rRNA from 1 species